GACGAACGUUGGCGGCGUGCUUAACACAUGCAAGUCGAACGGAAAGGCCCUGCUUUUGUGGGGUGCUCGAGUGGCGAACGGGUGAGUAACACGUGAGUAACCUGCCCUUGACUUUGGGAUAACUUCAGGAAACUGGGGCUAAUACCGGAUAGGAGCUCCUGCUGCAUGGUGGGGGUUGGAAAGUUUCGGCGGUUGGGGAUGGACUCGCGGCUUAUCAGCUUGUUGGUGGGGUAGUGGCUUACCAAGGCUUUGACGGGUAGCCGGCCUGAGAGGGUGACCGGCCACAUUGGGACUGCGAUACGGCCCAGACUCCUACGGGAGGCAGCAGUGGGGAAUAUUGCACAAUGGGCGGAAGCCUGAUGCAGCAACGCCGCGUGCGGGAUGACGGCCUUCGGGUUGUAAACCGCUUUCGCCUGUGACGAAGCGUGAGUGACGGUAAUGGGUAAAGAAGCACCGGCUAACUACGUG
rnacentral:rRNA from 1 species